rnacentral:lncRNA from 1 species
CAGGCAAGAGGUCUCCGAGGCGCAAACGUCGGUCGAAGGAUAACCCAAAAGGCAAGGUCGGUAUUCAGGCAAAAGGUCGAUAAUCAUAAGGAGCUACAGAGAUUAAGGAGGAGGGAGACGGGACUAGGAGAGGACUGCGGGAUCGGGAAGGAGUGGAGGCAAUACAGCACUGCAGGCAUCGUCCCCUUUAUUCCAAAGAGCUGCGCCUUGUCAGGAAGAAGGAAAUGGCAGGAAGAGACACGAGCAAAAGAAAUUACAUUCAUAAACACGUUUUUUCCAGGAGUUUAACAGAACUCACUCAGUGAAUAAACUGAGGUGCAUCUCUGCUGUUACA